rnacentral:rRNA from 1 species
AGAGAUUGAUCAUGGCUCAGAACGUACGCUGGCGGCACGCCUAACACAUGCAAGUCGAACGAAGUAGCAAUACUUAGUGGCAGACGGGUGAGUAACAUGUAGGUAUCUGCCCUUUGGCCUGGAAUAACACGAGGAAACUUGUGCUAAUACCGGAUAAGUCUUUACGGAGAAAGCUUUAUGCACCAUUGGAUGAGCCUGCACUUGAUUAGUUUGUUGGUGGGGUAAUGGCCUACCAAGACUGUGAUCAAUAGCUGAUUUGAGAGGAUGAUCAGCCACAUUGGGACUGAGACACGGCCCAAACUCCUACGGGAGGCAGCAGUGGGGAAUCUUGCACAAUGGAGGAAACUCUGAUGCAGCGAUGCCGCGUGAGUGAAGAAGGCCCUUGGGUUGUAAAGCUCUUUCGUCGGGGAAGAAAAUGACUGUACCCGAAUAAGAAGGUCCGGCUAACUUCGUGCCAGCAGCCGCGGUAAUACGAGGGGACCUAGCGUAGUUCGGAAUUACUGGGCUUAAAGAGUUCGUAGGUGGUUGAAAAAGUUAGUGGUGAAAUCCCAGAGCUUAACUCUGGAACUGCCAUUAAAAACUUUUCAGCUAGAGUAUGAUAGAGGAAAGCAGAAUUUCUAGUGUAGAGGUGAAAUUCGUAGAUAUUAGAAAGAAUACCAAUUGCGAAGGCAGCUUUUCUGGAUCAUUACUGACACUGAGGAACCGAAAGCAUGGGGUAGCGAAGAGGAUUAGAUACCCCUCGUAGCCCAUGCC